UCGGGAAUCUUCCACAAUGGGCGAAAGCCUGAUGGAGCGACGCCGCGUGAGGGAUGAAGGCCUUAGGGUUGUAAACCUCUAAAAGAGGGACGAUAAUGACGGUACCUCUUGAAUAGCACCGGCUAACUCCGUGCCAGCAGCCGCGGUAAUACGGAGGGUGCAAGCGUUAUCCGGAAUCACUGGGCGUAAAGGGCGCGUAGGCGGUCUGUUAAGUCCGAUGUUAAAUCCCGGGGCUCAACCCCGGAUAAGCGUUGGAUACUGGCAGGCUAGACGGUUGGAGAGGCGAGUGGAAUUACCAGUGUAGCGGUGGAAUGCGUAGAUACUGGUAGGAACACCCAUUGCGAAGGCAGCUCGCUGGACAACACGUGACGCUGAGGCGCGAAAGUGUGGGGAGCAAACC
rnacentral:rRNA from 1 species